rnacentral:lncRNA from 1 species
UUCAGAUUGGCUUGUUUUGUUCAAACAGGUGAAUUCGAUUCCGGUCUGUUCAAGUCAGCUGAUGGGUUUGUUCAACAAGUUCUGUCUGCAAUAUUUCAGCGAGGAUGACAAUCAGAUAUUCCAGUGGACCAGACAUUCACUAUUUUGAGAGUUUGAUAGAACUGAUCUGUGGCCUGUUUGGUGGUGGUGCUGCUUCAGAGGGACCGGAGAAACAUGCAAGAUGAGGGGGAAAAAAAAG